AACCCCAUUAGCAAGGAAGUCUUUUCCUUCCAGGAUAGACAAAUCCAUCUUGUCUUAACUCUUCUAUAUGGUUUACUAUUCUUGUAAGUUGUACGCAGGAAUAUCAUUUCUGUUCCUUCUUCCCUUGUCGUAUCUCCUUCUUGCUGCCUUUUCACACAUUCAAUUCCUUCCACAGCACUUGGACAAGCUUCCUGCUACCUCCACCAACCAUGUGUUCUAAGGUGGUUCACACAUUUGCUCCUUCACCUUGUGCCAAAGCCAAGGUGCCUAAACUAUUUGCUUGUUACUGUAUUGUUUUAUAUACAUUUUUUACACACGUUUGUGUAAAAAACCCUUGUGGUUUUUUUUUAACUGAGAAUUUGAGCCUGCUUUAGAGCUACCAUGCAACUCGGCAUUAAUUCAAGCCUCUAUAACCUUUUUUAAAAUUUAUGUUAACACUACAGUCUUUGUCAUGCAGAAAGCCAAUGUGACAUCUAUUCCCAUGGCACUUAACCAUACUGAGGAUAGUGAGCUUGGGAAGAUGUGAGGCAGUUUAUCCAUGUAUGAUUUUGAAGCUGAGAACACAUUGCAUACUGAAAUAAAGUAAGAGACAAGACUAAAAGGGAAGCCGCAUCUUUCUAUCAUCAAUAUCUUUUAUCUGUAAGAUCUGUUCUUACUCACAUAGAAAAUAAUAGAGGGACUGCACAUUUCCUUCAAAAAAUCUCAGCCACAGUCCCAAUCAGUUCAGUGUGGCACAAAAAGGAGAAUGCAACAAGUCUUGUUUUAUUUCAGUAAUAUGAAAUCAGGUGCAGCAGGAAGCAGAUUUGUGCCAUUAGCAGUGCAGAGGGGCUCUUACACCAACACUCUUAUGUAGAGCUUUAAUCCACGUGGUGCCACCAUCUUUCAGGCUCUACGCCUUAUGACUGUCUUCCAGACACCAGGGAUGUGUCUCAAACAGUCUUUUCUUCUAAUGCAACUGCUUCCCAUGUGUAGUGGAAAUGCUAAGCCAAGGCCUGAACCAGCGAUUGAGCACCUGGUGGGAAGGCAGGGCCAACCCAGGGGAGCUCAGGUGCAUGCAGUGUUCCUAAGUGACUGGAAGAGCUGGAGCCAGGAUCCACCCCUUCCCAGACCCCAUUUAAGGGUUGGCAGUAGAAGCAUGGGUGUUUCACUGGAGAUCGUUGCCUGCCUGAGGUCUUCUAAAGGCUCCAGGAAUCUUACGUUCUAGGCUUUUGCUUGCUACCUUUUGGACUGGCUGUAAAACAAGAAUGCUGUUUGGCAAAAAAUGUCUUGAGGUGUCAGCUUUUAGUUUCACUUCACAUUACAACAAACCAAGACCAUCUCGUAGAACUGGUGGAAUAAAGAAGCAGGAAAAAUAAAGCAGAAACUUGAACUCAUUCCACUGAUGUCCCUGAUACAGGCUGUUACUGGACAGCUAGCAGUCUUUCUGGAGGAGCAGUACUGCCUAGUAUUUUACCAGGUAUUCCACCUGUAUUGUGGCAACAGCUCUUGGUAAAACUUCACACUGAAUACAUGCUUUUCAACAUGAAACCUGCUUCCCAAGAGCAGGUUCUUCAUCAACAAAUUGUUUAGAUAAAAAAAAAAAAAUACAA